rnacentral:rRNA from 1 species
UCCACGCCGUAAACGAUGAAUACUAGGUGUGGGGGUUAUCAUGACCUCCGUGCCGCAGUUAACACAAUAAGUAUUCCGCCUGGGGAGUACGGUCGCAAGAUUAAAACUCAAAGGAAUUGACGGGGGCCCGCACAAGCAGCGGAGCAUGUGGUUUAAUUCGAAGCAACGCGAAGAACCUUACCUAGACUUGACAUCUCCUGAAUUACCGGUAAUGCGGGAAGCCCUUCGGGGCAGGAAGACAGGUGGUGCAUGGUUGUCGUCAGCUCGUGUCGUGAGAUGUUGGGUUAAGUCCCGCAACGAGCGCAACCCUUGUCGUUAGUUGCUACCAUUAAGUUGAGCACUCUAGCGAGACUGCCGCGGUUAACGCGGAGGAAGGUGGGGAUGACGUCAAAUCAUCAUGCCCCUUAUGUCUAGGGCUACACACGUGCUACAAUGGUCGGUACAAUGAG